UAGCUGAGAGGAGGUGCAUGGCCGUCGUCAGUUCGUACUGUGAAGCAUCCUGUUAAGUCAGGCAACGAGCGAGACCCACGCCAACAGUUGCCAGCUCGUCCUCCGGGGAUGGUGGGGACACUGUUGGGACCGCCUCUGCUAAAGAGGAGGAAGGAAUGGGCAACGGUAGGUCAGCAUGCCCCGAAUUAUCUGGGCUACACGCGGGCUACAAUGGGUGGGACAAUGGGUAUCGACACCGAAAGGUGAAGGCAAUCUCCUAAACCCAUCCGUAGUUCGGAUUGUGGGCUGCAACUCGCCCACAUGAAGCUGGAAUCUGUAGUAAUCGUGUCUCAAAAUGGCACGGUGAAUAUGUCCCUGCUCCUU
rnacentral:rRNA from 1 species